UCUGCCCGUCCCUCACCUGAGCCCUCAAGCCAGUCAAGUCACACACCUCGCCUCCCCACGCUGAGCAAACAGGCAGCUGGUGAAGUCAUGUUUAGCAUGGGAGCGGCAAGGAGGGAAGUCGCUGAGAUUAAGCCGGGAAGCCUUCUCAGCGGGCAGGCGGCCCGAGGGGGCAGCCCAGGAGAAGCAGGGCCCCCUCCCCUCGGUCAUCCCAGACUCCCUCGGCAGGUAGGGCAGCUGAGUCACAGCACCAGGCACCCAGGGGUGGCGAGGGAGCAGACGGGCCCGCG